GACAGAGGUGCCGAGCGUUAGGCGGAAUCACUGGGCUUAAAGCGUGUGUAGGCGGGUCGUUAAGUGCCUUGUGAAAUCCCACAGCUCACCUGUGGAACUGCUUGGCAUACUGGCGGUCUUGAGCCACUUAGGGGCAACCGGAACAAACGGUGGAGCGGUGAAAUGCGUAGAUAUCGUUUGGAACGCCAAUGGUGAAAACAGGUUGCUGGGAGUGCGCUGACGCUGAGACACGAAAGCCAGGGAGCGAACGGG
rnacentral:rRNA from 1 species